UUCCAUGUUACAAGCCUAGACAGGCAGAUAUUGUUGGGGAAGAGUGGUGGAAGAAAGUGCCAGGGAGGAGAAAGAGCUGCAGCCAACCAGAGCCCCCUUCCCAGGCUGUGGCUUCCACAAACUAUAGACCUUUCCAGGAGGAGAGGGGCUGAGACUCAAAAUCAGAUUAUGGCCAAAUCCCAGCUGCCAUCACAAAAAUCUUCUUCGAUGUCAAAAUUCCUGGUAUUUUACAUCAGUGCUUCUUCAGAAAGCUCAUCCCUUUCUGGCCCCCUUGUAAGGAUCUUGGACUCUGGGGAUCUUGGUCUAUUUGAUGAGUACAGUGGUCAAGGAGAGCCAGAUCAGACAGAAGCACCUGCCUGCUACCCACGGGGACAUGAAGUUGUUAACAGCAGCCUGGACUCUGCUGGCUCUAGGACAAAGCAGGAUGACAGGAUGGAGUCUCCAGCUGUGAAAGUGUUGCUGCAGACAGCCCUCAGCUUCCAGUUCUUGUAAAAAUGGCCUCAGCUUCAGAGAGCUCCAUUACCCAAGCUCAUUCAUUUCCUGGGGUGUUCUGCAUCCAGUGAGUGUUCUGUGGACUUGCCAGAACACUCACUUUUGGAACCUGGCCACCAUGUUGGAAGGAAUCCCAGAGCACAUGAGGAGGCCUUUUGGGGGUGUUCCAGCUGACAGCCUUAGCUAAGGUCUUAGCUAAUAGUCAGCAUCAACUGCUGGCAAGUGAACAAGGCUUCAGAUGAUUCCAGCCCUCAGCUUUCCAGCUGAAAACAUUGUAAAGCAAAUACAGCCAUUUCCACUUUGCCCUGUCUGAAUUCCUGACCCACAGAAGCCAUGAGAGAUAACAAAUGAUUACUAGUGCUUUAAGCCACCGGGUUUGGGAAUCAUUUCUUAUGUAUCAAUAGAUUACAGCAAAUGUCAAAAAACUAUAGAUAAAGUUAGGAUGAUAAUUCAGCACAGUUGCUAGAUACAAAAGUCAAUAUUGAAAUCAAUUCUAUUUCUAUAUACUGGCAACAUACAGAAGUCAAAUUUAAAAUUUACAAUAGUAUAAAAAUAUAAUUAUCUAAGAACAAAUAUAACAAAAUCAUAUGAGUCCUUCAAAGAGAUAAUCACAGAACUCAAUUAAAAUAUACUGAAAAAGACCCCAAAAAGGAGAUAUGCAAGAUAUAUAUUACACUCAUGGAUUCACAGAAUUAAUAUUGUGUAGAUACCAAUUACCUCAAAAUUGAUGUACUAUAUUGUACCAACCAAAUCACAAUCACUUAGUAAUGUGUUGAGCUGAUUUUAGAGUUCAUAAGAGAAUUGAGAAGUCUAAGAAUAGCCAUGGCCUUCUGGAAGAACAAGGUGAGUAGUUGGUCUCCAGAUUAUAAAGAUAAAGGACUAUAACAGAGUUACUGGUGCAAGGACAGAAACAUUAGCAAAUGGAGCACAGCAGAAAGCCUGGACACUGGCCUGCAUAGAUAUUGAAGCUUUAGAUACAGCAGAUGUGGUAUUGUAGCCACAUGUGAUGAUGUGAACUGAUGGAUUUUUCCACGAAUGUCAUAGAACAAUUUGGUAUCCAUAUUGAACAAAAAAUGAAAUUAAAUCCUCCUACAGAGAAACCAAUUCCUGGUGGAUUAAGAACUAUAUGUGAAAGGUUUAAAAACACAGAUUUUAAAAACAAGAUAGAAAAAUAUUUAUAAACUCAGUGUAGAAAAGGGUUUUUUUUUCUUCUUAAAAAUAGUCUAAAACCCAUGACCCAACUAAGAUUGGUCAAUGUGACUGCAUUAAAAUUACGAAUUGUAUUCAUCAAAAGAAUCUCUAUAGCUUACAGAUGAAAUAAUACCCUGUGACUUGCUUCAGAACAAUUUAGUGGAGCCAGUGGAGAGGGAAAGGUGUAUAUCUGACUCAAAGGGAGCCUGAGAUGGUGGUCAUUGUGACGAGGCAAUGUUCAUAAUAGCAAAAACUGGAAAUAACCAAAAUGCCCAUGAAUAGUAGAAUAGACCAAAAAAAUGGCGUAUUCACACAAUGUAACCAUAGAGCAGUCAAAAUGAACCACAGUUAUGUGCAUCAGUAUGAGUGGUUCUCAUCUGGAGAACAAGAAACAAACCACAGGUAAUCUAUUCACUAAGAUUCAAAAACAGAGAAAACUAAAUGACAUUUGUUGAGAGAUUUAUACAUGGUUGGUAAAAUGAUGGUUACAACAUUGUAUGUAGUGGUUAUCUCAAAGAAGGCACAAAGAUAGAGACAAAGGGGCUUCUACAUUACUUACCAAAUUAUAUUUCUUUUCUUUUUUGAGACAAAGUCUCACUCUGCUGCCCAGGCUGAGCGCAGUGGUGC
rnacentral:lncRNA from 10 species